rnacentral:rRNA from 1 species
GAUGAAUGCUGGCGGCGUGCCUAACACAUGCAAGUCGAGCGGUAACAGGUCUAGUUUACUAGAUGCUGACGAGCGGCGGACGGCUGAGUAACGCGUGGGAAUGUGCACCAAAGUGAGGAAUAACUGCCCGCAAGGGGAGCUAAUGCCGCAUGUGAUCUACGGAUUAAAGGAUUUAUCCGCUUUGGGAGCAGCCCGCGUUAGAUUAGGUAGUUGGUAGGGUAAUGGCCUACCAAGCCGACGAUCUAUAGCUGGUCUGAGAGGAUGAUCAGCCAGACCGGGACUGAGACACGGCCCAGACUCCUACGGGAGGCAGCAGUGAGGAAUCUUCCACAAUGGGCGAAAGCCUGAUGGAGCAACGCCGCGUGAAGGAUGAAGGCCCUCGGGUUGUAAACUUCUUUUAUAAGUGAAGAAUAUGACGGUAACUUAUGAAUAAGCACCGGCUAACUACGUGCCAGCAGCCGCGGUAA